rnacentral:ncRNA from 1 species
CAAAAGCGCCAGACCUGAAAUUUAUAUUUAUCAGGUUAACGAGGUGAGGGACAAUCGAAAUUUUCGGCGGAUAUCUCUCCGGCGGCAAGAUAGCUUGCCUGUCGUAAGGCUGUGUACAAAAUAACAGGUGACUGUAAACAAAAAC